UGUAAAACAUAUUUAGCACUC
rnacentral:miRNA from 1 species